CAGGGAGACAACAAAAUGUUUAAUAUUAUUAUUUUGUCACCUUAGGUCGAUCGGUAUCUCACGUUCUUAAUUUAUUAAGAAUUUCAUUUCCUAAGUUUUUCUAGGUCACACCCAUUAUUUUUCCUGGGCCAUUAGCUCAGGUGGUUAGAGCGCACCCCUGAUAAGGGUGAGGUCCCUGGUUCAAGUCCAGGAUGGCCCAUAUCUCUAUGUUGGGGGUAUAGCUCAGUUGGUAGAGCGCCUGCUUUGCAAGCAGGAUGUCAGCGGUUCGAGUCCGCUUACCUCCACUGAUUACCACCUCUUCCAUAACCGGUAGAAAGGAAAUGUUUUGAGUUGUGAUCAUUAUUCUGAACGAAUCUAGCUUCCUAAUGAAAUCAUUAAGAUGCUGGACUCAUUGAAUUAAUUUCAUUGUUUUCAGAGAACCUUGACAACUGCAUAGAUUAUUUUAAAGACAAUAAGCAUCUUUAAUGAUGCAGAUUUAUUAUUUGUGCGAAUGCAUUAAUAACAAUUCUAUUGAGCUGAUGCUUCAAUUUUUGAAGUUAUU
rnacentral:tRNA from 1 species